rnacentral:snRNA from 1 species
GUAUACAUAUGUAUAUACCUCAUCUGGAAGCUGUGCACCUUGUCGAAGAGGACGACCAUCCCUGAUAGAGGAGGAUCGUUCUUCAGUCAUGGGUAGCUGUGCUCCCACGCGAAAACCUCCAAACAAGCUCUCAAGGUUUACACCACUUUUAAAUUCACUGUGAUUACAAUAACAACAGCAACACGUGGCAUCAUUGGUCAUGUGCCUAUGAGC